rnacentral:rRNA from 1 species
GACGAACGCUGGCGGCGUGCUUAACACAUGCAAGUCGAACGAGGUUUAGCGGAGCUUGCUCCGCGACUACCUAGUGGCGAACGGGUGCGUAACACGUGAGAAACCUGUCCCAAACAUUGGAAUAACAGCUCGAAACAGCUGCUAAUACCAAAUACCACCGAAGUGUCGCAUGGCACAUCGAUGAAAGCUCCGGCGGUUUGGGAGGGUCUCGCGGCCUAUCAGCUUGUUGGUGAGGUAACGGCUCACCAAGGCAUCGACGGGUAGCUGGUCUGUGAGGAUGAUCAGCCACACUGGAACUGAGACACGGUCCAGACUUCUACGGAAGGCAGCAGUGGGGAAUAUUGCACAAUGGGCGCAAGCCUGAUGCAGCAACGCCGCGUGCGGGAAGACGGCCCUAGGGUUGUAAACCGCUUUCAGUAGGGAAGAAAAUGACGGUACCUACAGAAGAAGGUGCGGCCAACUACGUGCCAGCAGCCGCCGUAACAC